AAGAUGCCCCGCGUGAACACAAUAGGCACCCGUUCCAAUGCUCGAGCAAAGAGACCAGGGCAAAACCUUCCACUACGGGACAAUAACGGCCAGUUCCCACAAUUCGUUGUGGCAGUUCUUCCCAGGAUGCCUUAGGCCUAUAGCGACCACCUUCCCAGACUCCCCGUGUGGAAGCGCUCCAAGCCUCCAGGACGGUCAGCGGCAGGUGUGGGAUAAAAGGAACCGGUCUCGACAAGGAUCUGGGACACUCUUUCCCAGGAUGCACCAGGCCUACGACUAGCGGACCGACUCCCACAGCGCUUCAAGGCGGAGCGCUCGGUUCUCCCAGGAUGCCCCAGGGCGGCACAAACGCGUAGGGGGAGAAAAAGAAGCCCUCGGGUCACCACGGCCCCAGACCGCCGGCUCCCCGGUGACGGGAGUCGUCGCUCCCAUCAUGCAGCGGGGCCGUAGCGCCCGCUUCCCGGCAUGCCUCGCGCACCCCUGCCCGGGACACUCACCGGCGCCGGCGGCCCCCGCUCCGGCUCUGCGGCGGCGGCUGCACGCCCAGCCUCUGCGCCUGCGUCGCAAGUAGGAUGAACAAUCAUGGUGAAAGAGAAGCCCAGCCGGCAGCCAGCACCAAUCGCCAGCUGUGUGAGUGUGGCCAUCCUGGAUCAUCCAGCCCCAGCUGCCCCACCAGCUGACAGCAGCCACACAAGUGACCCCAGUUGAGACCAAUAAAAGAUCUGCCCAUCUGAUACAGCCCAAACUGCUGAACCCCAGAAUCAUGAACAAAUAAGUAAAAGAAAAGAACACUGGUUGUAUUUUAUGGUUGCACUAUGUCCAGCAGAAAAAGGCAUUCCUCAGUCUCCUUGCAGCAAGGUAAAGCCAUCUGAUAAAAUUUUGUCCAGUUGGAUAUAAGCCAAAAUGUUGCGUGACAAUUUUGGGAGGACUUCCUGAAACAGGUGGACAAACCCUUUUUCUACUGAGUCACCUUUGUGCCACCUGGAACUAACAGUGUGACGCGUGGAAUUUAGGCAGCCAUAUUGAACCAUGAGGACAAGAGCAGUGGGGAUGGCGGAACCAAGAGCUGGAAGGUGCCUGAGUCUCUGGUGAAGAUGUGGAGCUGCUGUAACAGCCCUCAACUCCUAGUUCUGGACUUCUUUUAUGUUUUAGUGUAACGCUUUGGGUAUUUUUAUUUUUUUAAUUUAUUUUAGAGAUGAGGUCUCACUAUGUUGCCUAGGCUGGACUCAAACUCUUAUGCUCAAGCAGUCCUCCUGCCUCAGCUUCAUGAGUAGCUGAAACUAUAGCACUUUGGGUAUUUCAGCCACUGUUUGAGGUUUUUCUAGCACCUCCUGGAAUAUCAAGCUUAACAUGUCCAAUCCUUGCCCCAGAUAUUUUCCUCCCCAAAUUUUCUCAAUCUCAAUAAAUGUCACCACCAUCCACCUGGUUGCUCAGGUCAAAAACCUAGAAAUCAUUCAAGUUCUCUCCCUUUCCCUCAUCCCCAAUAUCCAUUCCAUCAGCAACAUCUGUCCAUUCUACCUCCAAGACAUAUCCCAGAUCUCAUCACCUUUGUCUGCCUCUCCUACCCUCACUCUCAUCCAGCAUCAUCCCUCACCUGGACUCUGCAAAAGCCUACUCGUGGGUCUGUCUGCAUCCCUGUCUGCCUCCUCCAGGGCCAUUCUCCACCCAGUGGCCGGAUCGAUUUUUCAAAGAGGUUGAUCCCAGCUCAACCACUUGCCAUCUGUGUGACCUGUGGGCAAGUGACCUUACCUUUCGGAGCCUCAGUUGCCCCAUCUAUAAAAUGGGAAUGAUGCCAGUGCCUGCCUCAUAAGGAUGAGCCCCGCUCCUGAAGCUCAGGGAGCCCUCUCUGCAAGGCUGUUUUAGUGCAACCUCCGGAAACAUGCCCAUGCAUGUGAAAACUGGCAUGCACAUUCUGGUGCUUUUAAAAACAUCUCGAAGCCUAUCCACAGAUCCUGGACCUCAAGACUGGUUCAGUGCUAGCCCCCCAUUUUACAGAUGUGGAGAAUGAGGCUUAGCGGGUCCCAGGCAAGUCAGUGGCAAAACUCACCAUCUCCUGGGAGCCAUCAGGUUCCUCUGGAUCUGCCCCCACCAAAUUUAUCCCCUGCUCUCUGCUUGAGGGUGCACAUGGGGUGAGGGUGGGGGUCUUUUGUUUUACUCCCUCCCCCUCCUGAGGAGUCAGUAACCAACAGUGUCUGUGCCUGGAAUAUUAAUGUCUCAGCAGCUUUUGUUUGGGGGGUUGGGGGUGGUGGGGGCGGGACUUUCUGGUCAGAGAGGGGCUGAGCUUUGGGGACUGAGGCACUGGCCCUUUAAACUGUGUUGACAGCCAGGAGUCGUCAUGGGGAUGGUGCUUGGAAAAGGGGACAGGGAGGGUUUGGGAAAGAGUGGCGGAGCAGGUAAUGCGUAAGACCCAGGAAUCCAGCCCCCAACUACCUCCUCUCCCAGGACCCAGGAGUCUAGGCUCCCAGCCCCUCCUCCAUCAGGUUCCAGGAGUCUGGAACCCCGGCUUCUUUCCGCCUUAGACCCAGGAAUUCAGCCCCCAACCACCUCCUCUCUCAGGUUCCCGAAAUCCAGACCCCUAGCCCCCUUCUCGAUCAGGACCCAGGAGUCUGGGCUGUCAGCAGCCCCUUCCUUCAAACCUAGGAGUCAGAGCCC